rnacentral:lncRNA from 1 species
CCUGCAGCAGAUCAACUACAUUCAGCUUAUUUCCACAAAAGAACCUUCACACGUUCAGCCAACAACAAAGAAUAUGCAUCAUCAAACAAGGUGCAGUAGCCCACAUUCAUGUGAUGUCCAACACGUGAAAAGUGGAGGUGUGUCCAGCAAUCAUGGGAGGUGCACACGGUCCAGCAGUUGCCAUCUAAAUGGUCCAACCUUCAUGGGCCGUUGCCACGUCCGUGAGAAGCUGCAACACUUCACCGUUCAGCAGCCCAACAUCUUCACGUUCCAGCCUCUUCACGGCCUGAUCCAAUAGUCUACAGCAGCUGGCAACAAGGGAGGUGCUUGGAGAAAUCACAAAGACAGCCCACGUCCAGGUGCUUGAAGAAAUCAACUCCUGUAUCUUGGAGAGGUGCAAAUAGCAACGGUCCAACAACUCCCAUGCAACGUCCAGAGUUGGAGGGACACGAAAACCUAGGAGAGGAAUAUGCAUUAUAUUUGAAGAGCCGUCACAUACUGGGAGCUCUCUCGGCUUUGUAACGUUUUAUUGUGAUGGAACUUUCUCGGAAC